AUUGAACGCUGGCGGCAGGCCUAACACAUGCAAGUCGAGCGGAUGAAGGGAGCUUGCUCCUGGAUUCAGCGGCGGACGGGUGAGUAAUGCCUAGGAAUCUGCCUGGUAGUGGGGGAUAACGUCCGGAAACGGGCGCUAAUACCGCAUACGUCCUGAGGGAGAAAGUGGGGGAUCUUCGGACCUCACGCUAUCAGAUGAGCCUAGGUCGGAUUAGCUAGUUGGUGGGGUAAAGGCCUACCAAGGCGACGAUCCGUAACUGGUCUGAGAGGAUGAUCAGUCACACUGGAACUGAGACACGGUCCAGACUCCUACGGGAGGCAGCAGUGGGGAAUAUUGGACAAUAGGCGAAAGCCUGAUCCAGCCAUGCCGCGUGUGUGCAGAAGGUCUUCGGAUUGUAAAGCACUUUAAGUUGGGAGGAAGGGCAGUAAGUUAAUACCUUGCUGUUUUGACGUUACCAACAGAAUAAGCACCGGCUAACUUCGUG
rnacentral:rRNA from 1 species